UACGUAGGGUGCGAGCGUUGUCCGGAAUUAUUGGGCGUAAAGAGCUCGUAGGCGGUGUGUCACGUCGUUCGUGAAAACCUGCAGCUUAACUGUGGGCGUGCGGUCGAUACGGGCAUCACUGGAGUUCGGCAGGGGAGACUGGAAUUCCUGGUGUAGCGGUGAAAUGCGCAGAUAUCAGGAGGAACACCGGUGGCGAAGGCGGCGAUCUGGGUAGAUACUGACGCUGAGGUGCGAAAGCGUGGGGAGCAAACAGG
rnacentral:rRNA from 1 species